GACUGAAUUAUCCGUCGACCUUUCUGGAUGUGCAUUUAUUCUUUUUUUAUAUAAGACAUAUGUUUACGUGCACUAGUAUUACGAGUAUAAGGAUAGGCGUCGGACAUUAAUUUAUUUAAUCAUAUCUCCAACAUGGAUUUUGAUGACGAAGUAUAAUCUUUUAAUUGCUCAUGGAGUUAUGAUAUGAAGUAUGAUUUUGUACAUGAUUUUUACCACCGAUGGUUAUAAGCAUAUAACUAUCAUACAUGCAGAAUAUGGAGACAUGCAUGAUUUAAUUUAUGGGGAUGCACUGCUCGCAUCCAUCAAAUUAUACGCAAUGCAAUAUGUUUGGAAGUUGAUUUAUGGUAGAUUCAUAAAUUUCAGAACCUAAGCCAAGUUUGACGUGCUAAUGGGUGAUGGUGCGUGCACGGUAUAUUUUUUAUCAAUGCAGGCAAAGUGCAAAUACCUUAGUAAUUUAGCAAGCCACAUGUUGCUACGCCUGAAAUUUCCUAGCCAUGCAAAGGUUAAUUUGAUACUAACCGUAAGAAAAUUAUCUUAUUCCAUCGUCAAAUACGCACGCUCCUCUACUAGUACAUGACUACCAGUUAAUCCACAAGGACAUGUAACGAUUUUGGGUAUGAUGAUUAUUCAGCUACUGAAUAUAGGCAGCUCUUUAAUGAAAUUUUAGAGCUUUAGCCCGUGUCAAUAUGACCAAACCAAAGACAUGACUUGUAGUAUUAUAUAGAUGAAUUUAGAGUACCUUGGUUUGUGUCAAUGUGACCAUACCGAGAGCCAGUUUAUUAUGAUCAUGAGGGAAGGCAAUUCAGCAUUUAUAAACAUGACCAAGCCAAGAAGAAAGACCUAUAUAUCUGCUAGGGAGAGAAAGUCCCCUAGUUUGUGUCAAUGUGACCAAACUAGCAGAUGAGGAGGAGGAACUCCAUGGUAUGUGUCGAUGUGACCACCCAAGGAGCAAGGAAAGGAAUUUAUUUCCUACCUUCUUGCAGAUGUCCUCUGGGAUUUCUCUUCUCGUCUGCAACGAGAUCAGUAGUCGGCGGCCGGCGGCACCAGUGUGUGUGCUUUUGCUGUAUGUGGGCGUGUGUGAAGGAAGCGAUGGAUGGCUGGGGUGAAUGAAUGAUCAAUGAGCAGCGAUGGACUGAAUGAACGUGAGC
rnacentral:lncRNA from 1 species